rnacentral:rRNA from 1 species
GAUGAACGCUAGCGGCAGGCCUAAUACAUGCAAGACGAACGGUAAGUUGAGUAGCAAUACUUAGCCAAGAGUGUCGUACGGGUGCGUAACACGUAUGCAACCUACCCUAUACAGGAGGAUAGCCUAGGGAAACCUGGAUUAACCCUUCAUAGUAUUAUUGGAUUGGCAUCAUUUGAUAAUUAAAACUGAGGUGGUAUAGGAUGGGCAUGCGUCUGAUUAGUUAGUUGGCGGGGUAAUGGCCCACCAAGACGAUGAUCAGUAGGGGUUCUGAGAGGAAGAUCCCCCACACUGGCACUGAGAUACGGGCCAGACUCCUAC